UACAGAGGGUGCAAACGUUGCUCGGAAUUAUUGGGCGUAAAGCGCGUGUAGGCGGCUUGUUAAGUUGGUCGUGAAAGCCCAUGGCUCAACCAUGGAAGUGCAACCAAAACUGGCAAGCUUGAGUUCUGAAGAGGAUGGCGGAAUUCCCAGUGUAGAGGUGAAAUUCGUAGAUAUUGGGAGGAACAUCGGUGGCGAAGGCGGCCAUCUGGGAAGAUACUGACGCUGAGACGCGAAAGCGUGGGUAGCAAACAGG
rnacentral:rRNA from 1 species